CACUCUCUGUCUCACCAGGUCCAACGUGGUCUUCUCUAAAACGUCCACAAGUUUCUCCACCUUGGUCUUGCUGGUGAAGAUGAAGUCAUCGUCCACCCACAGCACAUACUUGCUGGUCACCUGGGAAACGGCCAGGUUUCGUCCAGCAAACCACCCCUAGGGCACAGGAGGACCUCAGCGUGACAUCCAACACACACACACAGAGAAGGUUGCACGGAGGUUCAUUGGGAAGAAGAAGAAGAAAAAGCUUGAGGGCACGCCGCACCUCCUUGUGGUCCUUCAUCAGGUCCUGUGUUGUACAGUUUGGAUGUCACACCGUGACGCACCUUGAUGGUGAACUUGGCUCCAUGUGUCGGGGUGGAACAGCGUGUUGGUGUAGGUGACAAACUGCAGCUGGCGGUUGAGUUUGCUCAGCAGGCCGCUGGACAGCGACAUGCGCGUCUCGCCGUCGCCUCGGAUUUCAACGCCGUCCACUUCUGCGGCGACGUUCAGGGUGCCCAGCGAGGCGCUGAGGUUCACCUGCGCGCGCGACCGAAGACAUAAAGUCAUCAAGACGCAGACGUCCUCCAUGCAAAAUACUCACAGAGUAGAGUUGACUGGGAAGAAGACGGUGUAAGGCCAAACCUGAAAGAAUCAUGCAUAGAAUGUACAGUCAUGUACAGUACACACUGGGGAAUGUACAGUCAUGUACAGCAGUGGUCCCCAACCACCGGGCCGCGGCCCGGUACCGGUCCGCGGACCGAUUGGUACCGGGACGCACAAGAAUUAAAAAAAAUAAAUAAAUAAAAUAAAUUUUAUUUUAUUUUUUUUAUUUUUAUGAAAUCAACAUAAAAAACACAAUAUAUACAUUCUAUAUCAAUAUAGAUCAAUACAGCCUGCAGGGAUACAGUCCGUAAGCACACAUGAUUGUAUUUAUUUAUGUAAAAAAAAAAAAAUAAUAAUAAUUUUUUUUUUUUUUUUUUUUUUUAAUGAAAUCAACAUAAAAAACACAAUAUAUACAUUCUAUAUCAAUAUAGAUCAAUACAGCCUGCAGGGACACAGUCCGUAAGCACACAUGAUUGUAUUUAUUUAUGUAAAAAAAAAAAAAAAAAAAAAAAAAAAUUCCACCCCCCCCCACCGGUCCGUGGGACAAAUUUUCAAGCGUUGACCGGUCCGCAGCUACAAAAAGGUUGGGGACCACUGAUGUACAGCACACACACCUGGGAUGAUGAUUGUCUUCAAAGGCCGCACCUCCAAUCCCUGAGUCGGGUACUGCCAAGGAUUGUUGGCCUGGGCUAUAAUGAGCGAGUCGGCAGGUGUGUGUAACCUGAAGUACACAAAGAAUACUUUCAGCUACUGCACUUUGUUGUUUUUACAGUACUCACCUGUUCUGGAGACUCCUGAACUCCUUCUCCCGUCUCCUCUUCACCUCCUCCAGCUCCGAGGGCUGGAAGGCGGUGUGCAGCGGCCUGGCCGCCACCCGCGUGGUGAGCAUUUGGAGGAAGGGUAGGUUGAUGCCUUCACUCUCGCACACGCAGCCGUUACGCGCCAACAAGCUGACCAAGUCACAAUAGUAAGUUCAUUCUAUGAACACGGGCUCUCUUGUUAGCAUCAGGUCAAAAACACAGGUGUCAAACUCAAAGCCCGGGCGCCAAAUCUGCUCCAACUUCUUUUUAAGUGUCCGCCACAUUAUUUAUGUGGCCUGCAAAAAGGCUGAAAGAAAGCAGCACUUAUUUGGUAAAUGUCCAUCCAUCCAUCCAUUUUCUACCGCUUGUCCCUUUCGAGGUUGCGGGGGUUGCUGGAGCCUAUCUCAGCUGCAUUCGGGCGGAAGGCGGGGUACACCCUGGACAAGUCGCCAACACAGACAGACAACAUUCACACACUAGGGACCAUUUAGUGACUGCAACCAACACAAAGUCACACAUUGAUCACACACACACACACAACACAAUUUGUUCACCGAACUUUGUGGAUUUGAUCAAAAACGGCCACAACUAUAACAUAUUUCAAAUUACCGUAAUUUCCGGACUAUAAGCCGCUACUUUUCCCCCUCGUUCUGGUCCCUGCGGCUUAUACAAGGGU